UAAAUUGAACAAAACAAUAAAUCAUCAUGCUCCCUUAAAGCGAAUAUCAAAAAGAAGAGAAAAGCAACUAAAAAAAAACAUGGAUAACCAAUGGUAUUAGAAAAGCAAUUAAAAUUAAAAAUCAACUACUUUAUCAAGGUAAUACAAGCAGAUAUAAAUUCUAUAGAAACAAAAUUCAGACACUUACUCGUGUAAGUGAAGGACAAUAUUAUCAGAGAUAUUUUGAAAACAACUUCAGCAGCAUCAAAAAGACCUGGGAGGGUAUAAAUGAAUUAAUAAACCG